UUAGAUCUUGUCUUAAGAUAAAAAAAGCCAAUAACCAAUUUUAAUUAUAGAUGUUCUUUUAUAACGGCACGUUGAUUUUAAAAUGCUUUCAUAAAAUCAUUUAUAAAUAAUUUGUUUAAGUUUAAUCAAACGCAAUUAAGAUUUGUGAAAAAGGAAAUACAUAAGUAUAUUUACUCACUAAGGUUCAAAAUAACAACAUCACC
rnacentral:lncRNA from 1 species